ACGCACGCUGGCGGCGUGCUUCACACAUGCCAGUCGCACGGUGAAGCUCCAGCUUGCUGGAGUGGAUCAGUGGCGAACGGGUGAGUAACACGUGAGCAACCUGCCCCUGACUCUGGAAUAAGCGCUGGAAACGGCGUCUAAUACUGGAUACGAGAAGGGCCCGCAUGGGCACUUUCUGGAAAGUUUUUCGGUUGGGGAUGGGCUCGCGGCCUAUCAGCUUGUUGGUGAGGUAAUGGCUCACCAAGGCGACGACGGGUAGCCGGCCUGAGAGGGCGACCGGCCACACUGGGACUGAGACACGGCCCAGACUCCUACGGGAGGCAGCAGUGGGGAAUAUUGCACAAUGGGCGAAAGCCUGAUGCAGCGACGCCGCGUGAGGGAUGACGGCCUUCGGGUUGUAAACCUCUUUCAGCAGGGAAGAAGCGAAAGUGACGGUACCUGCAGAAGAAGCACCGGCUAACUACGUG
rnacentral:rRNA from 1 species